rnacentral:rRNA from 1 species
GGAAGUGCUAUUGAAACUGCAUGGCUUGAGUGCAGGAGAGGUUAUCGGAAUUCCCGGUGUAGCGGUGAAAUGCGUAGAGAUCGGGAGGAACACCAGUGGCGAAGGCGGGUAACUGGACUGCAACUGACGCUGAGGUACGAAAGCGUGGGUAGCAAACAGGAUUAGAUACCCUGGUAGUCCACGCCGUAAACGAUGAGCACUAGGUGUCGGGGUCGCAAGGCUUCGGUGCCGCAGUUAACGCAUUAAGUGCUCCGCCUGGGGAGUACGCACGCAAGUGUGAAACUCAAAGGAAUUGACGGGGACCCGCACAAGCAGCGGAGCAUGUGGCUUAAUUCGAUGCAACGCGAAGAACCUUACCAGGUCUUGACAUCCAAUUAAAACUGAUGAAAGUCAGCGUACUCUUCGGAGUAAAUUGAGACAGGUGGUGCAUGGUUGUCGUCAGCUCGUGUCGUGAGAUGUUGGGUUAAGUCCCGCAACGAGCGCAACCCUUGCUGUCAGUUAACAACGGGUAAAGCCGGUGACUCUGACGGGACUGCCGUGGAUAACACGGAGGAAGGUGGGGACGACGUCAAAUCAUCAUGCCCCUUAUGACCUGGGCUACACACGUGCUACAAUGGCCGUUACAAAGAGGUGCGAAGCCGCAAGGUGGAGCAGAUCUCAAAAAAGCGGUCUCAGUUCGGAUUGUGGGCUGCAACCCGC